AACGUAGGAGGCGAACGUUGUCCGGAAUAACUGGGCGUAAAGCGCAUGUAGACGGCAUGAUAAGCCAAAUGUGAAAUGUAGGGGCUCAACCCCUACACGGCGAUUGGAACUGUCAAGCUUGAGUGCAGGAGAGGCAAAUGGAAUUCCCAGUGUAGCAGUGAAAUGCGUAGAGAUUGGGAGGAACACCAGUGGCGAAGGCGAUUUGCUGGACUGCAACUGACGUUGAGAUGCGAAAGCCAGGGGAGCAAACGGG
rnacentral:rRNA from 1 species